rnacentral:lncRNA from 1 species
AGGUGACUAUCCCCCCACCCUGCCCCUGCGUCGCGGCGCGUCGCGCUGCUGCUCCCGCCCCAGCCGGGGCCGAAGAUGGGGCGGCGGCUGCGGUUUUCCACACGACUUCCUUGGAUCUCGGGGCACACGCGCCGAUAGUUCGGACGCGAGUCCGGGCUGGUUUUGCUCCGUUUUACUGCGUUUGAUUACUAAUUUAAAAGCUUUGCGUUCCCCGUCGCCCCGGCCCGCUUUUCUCCUGCAUUCUCCCCUCGGCCCCCGUCCCCGCCCUGCGAUCGCUGGAGGGGGCGUCGGGGCUCGCGCGCCAGAACCCGGCUCCUCCGAAGCCCCCUCCGGGCCCCACCGCCCCCCUCGCGCCUCCCGGCCCCCGCCUCCUCCCCUUCGCCCCCACCCAACGGCUGCUGCUUCGGGCUUCGCGGCUCAAAAACAACAGCGGAGGCGCCGCCAGCUCCGCGCUCCGCCACUGCCCAGGCCGGCGGGCGGCACUCGGACCCGCCGCCCUCGGUCCCUCGCGAGGCCACGGAGGCCAACACGCCUCGCACGGGGGGACAGCGCGGGGGCAGCCGUCCAAACACCAGGCGUCCUCGGCUGGUCGUCCCAGGGCGCCCGCACCUCUCCGCCCGCGCUCUCCUGCCGCCGCGCCCCCAAGCCCCCAAACUCCGAGGCGCUGCGGCGGAGGGGCCGGGCUGAGCGCAGGCAGGGUGGCCCGGGCCCAGGAGCCUGACGGCCUGAGUGCGGAUUUCUCAUCUGAGUAUCUGGGAAUCGAGAAUGAAUUGGAAGGAAACCGAGGCGCUGCCCUGGCCAGGUUGCUGCCCCGCACCCUUCCGGAGCACCGAAGUCCUGCCCGGCAACGGGACUUGGAGCUGCCGCAGAGUCAGCCUGAGCCCGAGGCAGGGGUCGCGCCCGCGAUGCGGGGUCUCUGCGCCGCCCCGCGAGGCUCCUGGCCUUGCCCUCCCUGCCCUUUGUUGUGUAAUAAGACCUGUGGCGGCUCCACUGAGACCCACACGUGCAACUCCGCGCCUCCGCGUUAAAGGAGGUGAAACGCAGCAGCCCUGAGAAACCCCGAGACCCCGGUGUCCUAGCAGAGGCGCCCCGGAUGGGGAGGGGCGCGGGGCCGGCGCCACCCCAGAGGAAAAGCCCAGCGGAGCCGGGUUGGGCAGGAGCUGGCGGCGGCGGUGCGCUGGGCCUUCUGCCUUGGAUCCUCCGCGGUCGGCACCGCUUCCCUGCUCAGAUUCGAACCCAGAUUCGGCUCCCAAGGCUCCCACGGCUCCAGGGUGCCCAGUCUUGCAGCCAGCUCGCCGCCCGAGCCCCGGAUGGAGGAAGCGCUCACUGGCCGCUACCUCUGCUGUUUCUGGCACCAGAUGGGCAGCUUCCGGGGACCGGCUUGCACGAUGCCGUGGCCACCCCAGUGGAGACCCUCUGCCCGGCUUUGUGUCCUGGCGUCCCCACCAGGGUGCCCAGCUCUCCUGCGCAGAUGUCGGGAGUAUCUGGAUGCCCCAUGGGCACUUCGAGGGCCCAAUCCGGAGUUUUUUGUUUUGUUUUGUUUUAAGAGAUUGAGACUGUGAACCUGAACUCCCUUGAUCUCCUCCCGUUGGGCCCAGGAGGGAGCCGAAUCCAGGCCCAACCGGGCUCACUGAGAAGGUGCAGGAAGCCCCCAACGACUCCUACUCGUGUGCGGCCCAUACUGGGCCAGGACGCUGCAGUGGCCGAGCCGCUGGGUGUCUGCAACGGGGAGCUCCCCCGCCGCUGGGGGCAAUAAACGGAAUCGGUUUCACACGCUUUCCCUCUUGAUCUAAGAACCUUUAAAAAUCCGCCAACGAAUGCUGUUGCCUGGAUGCGCUGCCUAUGACCUUCAGCCGUGUGUUCACGCGCGCCCGCAGCCGUGGAGUGGCGGUCCCUCCUGCCGCCCGCAACCCCGGGGCCGCCGGUCUGCGCACACCGGGAGCAACUUCGUUACCCACAGCGCCCGCGUCCUGCGGCUCGCGCGGAACUGCGCGCGGGAAGGUGGCAGAGCGACGCUCCAGAACGCUGCUUGCGUAGACGCUGCCGCUGCCUUCAGAUCCCAAUUCGGCCGCGCGCGGGCGGGGCCCUGGCAGCAACGAAAAUGGCGAGCCUCGUAGCCUUCCGGGCCCGGCGGCCACAUUCCGGGAGUCGCCAGGUGGGAGCCCGCCUUCCGUGUCCCCAAACGCCCAGAGCCCGGGACACGGGCCGGCGGCCGGGUCACCAAGCCAGUUCCCGGAAUCGGCUCGCGCCGGAAUCCAGACUCGGCUUGCAAAGCCCGCUCCUGCCGUCUCUCCGCAGCGCGCCCUGCCCCCCACUGCCGGCCCUCUUAGCUUCAAAACCAAAUUUUGCCUUUCAUCCUGAGAGAUUAAUACCCCGCAGGUGAAACCGUGGAGACGGAGCUGCGGUGGGUUUCUUUUCCACGCCUCAGUUUCCUCGUCUGUGAAAUGGGACCAGGCGCGCCUGUGCUUCUCCGGGAGUUUAUUGCAGGGCUGGCUGGAGAGAAUGGCUGGGUGGAAGCUGCCAGGAGGAGGCCCAAGGCCGCCCACCCCGUGGGCCUCGUUUGCUGAGCGGGGGUCAGAGGCGUGCGGGACAGGGCGCGCCCCACGGCGGCUCUGGAGGCGGCCCGGCCCGUCCCUGUCUCCUCCCCUCGCUCCCCCUCCCCCGGCCUUCCCGGAACUCUCCUCGCCCGCUGGGUGGAGGAGGGGCGAGGGCCGACUCCGCCGCCCCUGGGGUCUCCCUCCUCCCACCCCCACCGCAGAGUCUGGCCCGCCCUGGGCUUUCCUCUCAGGUCCCUUUGGGUCUCCAGAAGCCCGGAGGUUUCGCGCAGACUCGAACCUGAGAUGACACCACCCAGCACCCCAAAUCCUGCAGAGUGUGGAGGGGAUCUGGGGAGAAGGCAGGGGCUGCCCGGGCGCUCUGGCUGCUGGGGGUGGGGGACAGGGCCUGCCGGGGAAGCGGGUCGGGGGAGGACUGGAGACCCAGGCUCCCCUAGGUACAACGAACCUCGCGGGAGGGAAUACGCCAUCCCCGUACCCACUUCCGAGGACGUAGGUCUUUUGGCACCGGCGGCAGCCGCGUUCCCACACAUCUGGGCGGGGCCCCGCAGCAUGGCCUGGGGAGCUGAGGCUUCGGGAUCCGGCACAAACUACCAUUCUAGGUGUAGACGGAGGAGGUGGGGUGUGGGAAGCAGGGGGCCAUGGUCUGAGCAGACCUUCUCACCUCUGGGCCUCCCACCUCCUGGGGCAGGACUUACGGGGAAGGACCCGAGGGGAGUGGGGUGUCCAUAGGGACACCCAAGGGUCUAUCCCUGCGAGCUUUGCUUUCUACUAAACCAAUAAUCGCAGUGGUGGUGGCAGUCGAGACACGGCUCAAAGAGCCGGCAAGAAUAGAGCAGAGACCAGGAUCGCCCCAGGCAGGGAAAAAAUGACCAGUUCUGUAGAGUGACCCGAAGGUGAUGGAAUCACUCGGGCGUCCUCCUGGGAAAGAGCUGCCUGCUCCCCCGCCGCCGCCAGUACACCGGCGCCCAUGCCCCGGGGGCUGGAGAGAGCAGCCAGGCACAGGUAACUCAAGAACUCCAGUCCCCUCACGGGUGCCGUGCUGUGGGGCGCCCUCACCCCCACACUUUGGGUCCCUGGGCCUCCUCAUCAAAGCAGGGGCCUGAGUGGCAGGAACACCCCUGUGUGCAGAAUAGUGCCCCCUGCAGCCCCCACAGGUCACCUCUUUGAGGACCUAGGUGGGGCCUGCCCUGGGGACUGGGGUGAAGAGGGCAGGUCCAGCCUUCAGCAGCCCCUCCCCCAUGACUUCAGUGGAAUUACAAGGGGAACACCCAGGGCAGCUCCCGUAGGCUGCACAAGGGAAGAGGGGAGGGCUUCUACUGAGGUGAAACAGUGACCCACCCCUCCCACACCGUCAGCCUCCCUCCCCUCUCCACCCUUCAGUGCUGGGACCCCAGGGCCCAUAGACAGCUGGGGGAGUGGGGAGACAGGAGGAACUCAAGCUCAGCUUCUGCCUCCUGUCUCCUGGGACCCUCGGGCAGCCCCUCCAGCUUCCUGGGAGUCCAAUUUCCCAAGGUAGAACGGUGGCGGCAGAGCCUGGCCCUGUGGUGGGGCAGCUGCACCCCGAUGAGUGGCUUGCAGUUCCUGGAGCCCUGCAGGUUGUUGGAGAGGCAGGGAGCCCUUCUCCCUCCUGCCUGCCCUCUUGCACUUCCUCUCCCAGAACCCAGCACUACUCCCAGAGGCUCUGAGCUGGAGCCCUAGAAGGUAACCACCUCCUGGCUGGACACAGGGCAAGUUGGGGCCAGGCGUGAGGACAGGUGCCCCAGGAGCCACCUGCUCCACUCAUCCACAAAGGCCUUAACUGGCUCAGGGGCCCCUAGCUCCCAGUCAAGCCCUGCCCUCCUGACCUUGUCCUGCCCUGGUGCUGCCAGUCGGGUGGAGAUGUCUAGGGGCCAGCUGGUCUCCUGGCAACUGAAGUCCGCGCUUCCCUUCCGUUCACUCAUUCCUUCCUUUCCUCAUGCAGGAGGCGCUGCAAGGCUCCGUGCUCCUGGAGCUUCGAGUCUAUGGUAUGAGUUAAACAGAAGGGUAUCUCCUCCAUCAGAUCUACAGGAGGGUGUCUGCUCCAUCAGACCUGGAGCUUCCAAGGCAUUUUACCCGAAGCUCCAGCACCUGGCCCAAGGCUGGGCUGUGCUGUGUCCUCAGUGAAAGAAUGGAUGAGUCACAGCUGAAUGACUGAAGAGCUGAACCAAUGGGAAAACUGAUGCUCAGAGGCUUGAGCAACCUAGGCCAGGACCUGUCCUUAGAGGCAGAAGCAGGACUCAGAGGAAGAGCACCCUGACCACAAAGCCCCAGGUGACUUACACUGCAGGGAUGGCGCUCUCCGGGGUGUGCAGGGUGGCAGAGGUGCCUCUGCAGAGAGAUCCCUGCCUGGGACCCUUUCCUGGGGCUCUUCUGGUGCUGGGAGUGUGAGCACCACGAAAGCCCCACUACAGUCAUGCCACCCAGAGGGCGCUCUGGCCUCUUGGUCACCCGUGUCCUUCUGGCAAUGACCAAUACACUUUUUUGCCAGGGUCCAGAAAGACUCAGCCACUGGAGUCUGUAUUUCCUGAGUCGCCUCUCACUGGUAAGUCCUGAGCCCCGUUCCUUCCCAGCACCCACUCUUGGAGCAGCUCUCCAGGGCUGUGCUGUGGCUGCUGCGGUCAGGGAGAGGUCGCAUGCUCCAGCCAGGGUCUUUGGGGACUCAGUUUAGAACUAAUACGCCAAGCAAGUCGUGCUGAGUGUCUGGGCUUCUUCUAGGAAGGUAUUUCCAAUCAUCAAAUGUGCCAUUAAAAAAAAUGCAUGUCAGUUAAGUGUGCACUAAGCCUGGACCACAUGGGACAUAGUGGUUCCAAUAAACACGAAUAAGCCAGUUUUCACAUUAGAGAAAUACCAGUUUCUUGCAGAAAUGCGGUGCUUUUAAAAGAGGUUAAUUAAUAAACAGCAGGUAAUUGUUCGUGGCACGUUGUGGCAGAGGGUAAUUUUCAUUUUAGAGGAUGGAAGGGCCAAAUACCCCUCCCCACUCAGCAUUUUUCUGUAAUAAUCACCUCAGCUUCACCUCCGCCUUUCAUUUUUACAGCUGGAGCUGUUUAUCAUCGCUCCAACUUUCACUAAAAAGGAAAAACUAUCACUUAAACAAAGCCAUUGAAACCCCAGCAUCAUGUGUGGAUUUUUUAACAUAAAUAAAUCAUACAAACUAAGAUUUAUGUUCUUGGAAUGAUGUCAUUCAUUGAAGGCUGCCUUCCCAAUCAAAGCCGUGUUUAGUGAUUUUUCUUUAGUGGGUGUGCUUUUUGCUAAAUAGGAAAAACCCGUUCGGUCAUCCUUGCUGCUGUCUUUUCUCGGUUUGGCCCAGAACAUCAGAAAGGUUUCUCCCUGGGCCAGUCCACAGAGCCAAAUGGUGAAAAUGGUUUUAACUCCACAGACUGCUUUUAAAGCCUUUGCUUUGGAACCGUUAAGUCUGAGAUCAAAAGACUGUUAAACCUUCCCUAAGAAUGUGUGCAGGCCUCAGCAGAAGUUUAUGGUCCUCCCAGGUCUCCCAGAGCCUAGAAUGAAUCUCGCUGCAGAGUAACGCAUCUGCAGAAGCUUCACCAAAUUGAAAUGAGUGAGGAGCAUUAAAAUCAGCACACGUGGAUAAAUAACAGGUGGCAUAUCCAUGCAAUGGAAUACUAUGUCGCCAUGAAAAGGAAUGAAGAGCUGACGCUUGUUACAGCAUGAAUGAACCUGGAAAACAUGACGCUCCGUGAAAGAAGUCAGUCAUAAAAGGUCACGCUUUGUGUGAUUCCAUUUAUACGAGAUGUCCAGGAUGGGCCAAUCCAUAGAGACUGAAGACAUAUUAGUGGUUGCCUGGCUGUAGAAGUAGAGGCAGUAGUACUCUGGGCCAAUGAAGGCCCUGGGAACAGAUGGGCCACACCAGAGUCCAGCUUCAGCCCUCCAGGCAUUGAAAGGAGACCAUUAGCUGGAAGCCAGUGGGAAGUCGGGCUGACUAAUAGGGACAGGUGUCCAGGAGGCUGCAGUGUGAGGCUUUCAUUUGUUCAAGCAACACACAUUCACUGCACUCUUACCGUGUGCCAGGGACAGCCAUAGGCCCUGAGACUACAGCAGUGAUGGAGACAGACGCUGCUCCCAUCAAGGUCAUGUUUUGAUGGGGAAAGCAGCAAUAAGCCAAAUACAUAUGGGUCUGGGGUGCCAGGCUAGACGAUUCUAGUGCAAUGGACAUGAAAGAGGAGAGAGGUGAAGGCACAGUCUUCAAUCGGUUGUUCAAGAAAGGCCUCACUGAAGUGGUGACAUUUGGGCAGAGACGUCAGGGAGGGAUGAGGGAGCCACCCAAGUGUCUGGGAGAACAGCACUGGGGCAGAUGGAACAGCCAGUGCAAAGGCCCUGAGGCUCCAGUGACCAGUGUGGCUGCUGCAGAAGGACGGGGAGGGGAGGAGGGGAAAACCGUGUAGAGUGGCAGUGGGAGGACAGAUUAAGGCUGCAGGUGGAAUUAAAGUUGCUCUUUCAGCUGACUUUAAAGUAGGGAGACGAUUCCAGAUUAUCUGGGUGGCCUUAAUGUCAUCACGAGGAUCCUUAAAAGUGGAAGAGGGAGGCAGGAGAGUCAGGAUUAGGAUGAAGUGGAGAUAUGUGAGAAUAUGAGGAAGAUUCCCCUGGCUGUGCUGGCUCUGAAGACAGAGGAAGGGCCCACGAACCAAGUUACGUGAAUACGGACAGACUCUAGAAGCUAAAAAAGGCAAGGAAAUGGAUUCUAGAGCCUCCAGCAAGGAAGGCAGCCCUAUGCAUGCCUUGACUUUAGGACACUGAGAUCCAUUUCGGACUUCUGACCCACAAAACCAAAAUCUAGUAAGUGUGUGCUAUUUGAAGCUGCUAAAUUUGUAGUAAUUUGUUACAGCAGCCACCAGAAAUUAAUAUGGGGAGGAAAUAGGGAUUUCAUCUGUCCAUAGUAAAGACAUGCCGGGGGUGAUAAGAAUCUGAGCCCAUCUCACCUAGAUGAGAACGAGAGAGUAAUGACCACAGAAUAGUGGUGAUGGCCAUCCUCACAUCUGGCUCCUUAGCCACCCAUGCCAGUAUGGACUGACUGCCUUCUACGUCUUGUCCAUGGCCAUUCUCUAGGGAAAUUCCCUUGCAUCUCCUGCUACCUUUACAGACUACAUAUUUUGUUGGAUUACUUUCUCAUUUUCAUGAAGCAUAUCUUCUAGUAACUUCUGAUAAAAGAUGCAUAGGAGAUAAAUAUUUUAGGACUUCCACAGUACCAGAAUGAUGGAUGAACUGGGUAUAGAAUUCCAGAUUGGAGAUGAUUUUUUUGUUCAGAAUUUUAGAGAAUAUUGCCCCAUUGUCUUCUUGCUACCAGGCAGCUAUUGAGAAGUCUAGGAAGAUUCUGUUUCCUCGGACUUUGUGUGCAGUGUGAUUUUUCCUUUUUGGAAUUUUAUAGAAUCUUCUUUGUCCCAAGUGGUCCCAUAUUCCACAAUGAUGUGCCCUAGAAUGUGUCUGUUUUUAUCCACUGUGAGUUCUUUCCAACUGAGAACUUGUGUCCAUUAGCUCUGGGAAAUUUUCUUGAAAUACUUUCUUAGUGAUUUCUACUCUCUGUUUUGUUUCUUCUUCAUUUUUGAAACUUGAUAUUUAUAUGAGCUUUCUUCUGCACAUAUAAUCUGUGUGUCCACCAAAUGGCUUUGCUCUGUUUGUUUCAAUCUGUCUUUCCUGAGGCAUCUGCUGAUUCUUGGCUUUCUGCCCAUGAUGAGGAGCUGACUGGAAGUUCUGACAGUAAGAGAGGAGGGGUUCAUUGCCCUUGAGACCCAUGAAUGGGAGUGAUCCUUGAUCCUUGGAUGUCAGUAUCUUUAGGAACUGACCUGAUUCCCAGAGAAGUUACCCAGGGAGCAAGGGAGGGUCUGGCUGCCAGUCUUCUUGGAGUCAACUUGGAGUUGAAGGCAGGGGUCUUUGCAGUCAGCUGCCUGAAUUCUGGGAAAUAAACCUCUGGACUUUUGCUGGUGUGGGGGAGGGGUGGUCGCUCAGGGAGGAUAAGGAGGGGAUAGGAAUCCCCCUUUACUAAGCCAUCCUGAUCGUAGCCGCUCUUGCACCCCAAGUCCUAGAGGUACCCUUUUUUUUUGACGGAGUUUCACUCUUAUUGCCCAGGCUGGAGUGCAAUGGUGCGAUCUUGACUCACUGCAGCCUCUGCCUCCUGGGUUCAAAAAUUCUUCUGCCUCAGCCUCUAGAGUAGAUGCGAUUACGGGUGCCCACCACCAGGCCUGGCUAAUUUUUUUUGUAUUUUUAGUAGAGACAGGGUUUCACCAUGUUGGUCAGGCUGGUCUUGAACUCCUGACCUCAGGUGAUCCGCCCACCUUGGCCUCCCAAAAUGCUGGGAUUAUAGGCGUGAGCCACCACGCCUGGCCCCUAGAGGUAAUCUUAUACUCAGUCUUGAGUGUUAGGAUUCCCCUUGGUUAUAAAUCUGGUAAAAUCUCACCUUCCUGCUCUCUAUUCAGGAUUUUCUCUUGUCUCUGAUCCAAUUGCCACAGGUCCAUCAGCAAUUCAGCUUUCAGAAGGGAGGCCCACCCUUAUGGGUAGAUGCCUUUUGAAAUCUCUUUAUUGUGGUUGAAGUGGGGCUUACAGAGGGGACGCUAUUGAAUGGGUGUGUGUUUAGUUUGCCAUCUUAACCCGAGGCUUUUGUGGCUAUUUUAGAAAGACUGUGUCCAUUCUUAGGUCUAGGCCCGAUACCACACACAGUGUCCACACACAGGGGCUCUGACCCCACAGGGUUCUUUGGGUCCUGAUCAAUGAUCUUUCAAGAGCCUCCCCCUUGACCUGCUUCUGGCCACAGAAACAGCUGAUAAAUGAAAUUUGUUAGUUUCCUACAAUGGAGUGUUGCAUCAGCAGUGAACAUAGUGACAAGAGUGCAUGCUUAUCACCACGCUGACAUGUCCCUGAGACAUGGGGGCGACCUUUAAGAAUGUCAGCUGAAAUAUUAACAGCGGUUUUCCCUGGGUGAUUAGAUCUGAUAAUAUUAAAACUUUUUUCUCUGUUAUGUUUCUCUGCAUUUAAUUUUUCUCCACUGACUGUAUAUUAGUGGUGGAAGUGUUACAAUGUUUAAAAAUAAGAACAUCAAAAAAUUAGCCCAGGGUGGUGGUGGCAUGUUCCUGUGGUCCCAGCUACUCAGGAGGCUGAGGCAGGAGGAUCUCCUGAGCGCAGGAGGUAGAGGUUGCAGUGAGCCAAGAUCUCACCACUGCACCCCAGCCUGGGUGACAGAGUGAGAUCCUGUCUCAAAAAAUAAAAAUAAAAAUGAGAAGAAAAUCCUAUCUGUCCUUCAAUAACCAGCUCAGCCACUGCUACCUCCCGGGAGUCUCCCGUAUUCCCACUGUUGGGAAUGCUUCCUGCACCACAUUAAAUAAACUGC